rnacentral:misc_RNA from 1 species
AACGCACCUUGCACCCUUUGGUAUUCCGAAGGGUAUGCCUGUUUGAGUGUCAUUAAAUUCUCAAUCUUCAACUAGUUUUCUAGUUGGGGCUUGGAUAUGGGGGUUGCUGGCUUCUAACGAGGUCAGCUCUUCUUUAAAUGCAUUAGUGGUCUGGGUUAUUUUAUAUAGCCUUUUGGGUCCCACUGGCUUGGUGUGAUAGUAUAUCUGCGCCUUGCAUUCUACAGUUGGUUGAUCUUGACUGCUUUCUAACAGUCUUUGGACAAUUUGAACCAUUUGACCUCAAAUCAGGUAGGACUACCCGCUGAACUUAA